GAGAGUCUGAUCGAAAUGGAGCUGGACUCGAAAUUGCCGACAAACAAUUCCCGAUUUACAGCGUUUUCGACGUUAUAACGCAAACAAAAAGGACAAAUCUGUGUUACUGUCUACAAUGCAUUGUGGUACAUAACAAACCAGAUGGACACGAUUAACAUCACCUCCAAAAAGCAGAAAGAUGUACAGCCUGUUCAGGACCAGUUUGAACAGUUUGACGGGUACAUUGAAACAAAAAGGAAGAAGCAGAAAUGCAAGCCGAUGACCAGUAGCGUACUUCAGAGUCACGCGGAAUGUUUAUUCAGUUUAUUAGAGAAACCUUACGUAAACUCUUCAACAGGAUAAUGGCCAGAGCUUUGUGCAAGUGUAGAAGCUUUAGCAUCAUGUCUGUCAUCUUAAGAACAAUAUUUAAACAGGCAACUACAACUGCUACAAAUAAGGAGCUGUCUUUUCCAUAUAAGACUGUUGAUCAGAAUGCAUCAGUCUUUCAUUGUAGGAUCUGUUGUUAAAGACAAAUACACACUGCUUGACAAAGCUGUUGUAAGUUCUGACACUGAAAAUUCUGUUUUAUUUGAUAAAAAUCUGCAUGUUGAAAAACCAUUUGAGAAUAAAAUACAGAAAUUUC